ensembl:vault_RNA Vault Vault RNA
GCGUCAGCGUAGCCAAGCGGUUACUUCCAGUGAAUUCUAUUCGCUAUCUCGGGCAACCAGGUUCGAACCGCAGGCGCUGUCUGACGUUUUC